rnacentral:tRNA from 1 species
UCGCGGGUAGUUCAGUUGGUAGAACACCAGACUUUGAAUCUGGUUGUCGCAGGUUCGAGCCCUGCCCCGCGAG